GGGGCAGAUAUGGCUUCGACAAAAUAUUUGUAGGUACGGUUGCAAGUGGUAGGCAUACCUAAAAUGCAUUUUAAAAUUAAAUGACGAAACUUCAUAUGGUUUCGCUUCUAAUGCACUUGUUGCAGCCUAGUCUAAUUUAGGUAUAGAAGCACUUCUAUCUAAUUUUUCUUACGAAUUAGAAUAGGGGUUUAUAUUAGUAAGAUAUAUUGUUUUAAUUGUUUAGGUUAAAACAACGAAUAAUUACUAAACUAUGUUAUUAGAGUUGGUGCGUUAGAUCCAAUUUAAUAACUAAAUUAAUUCUAACUAAACUUGUAGUAGCUGUACUGGGCAGUAUUUUGGACAGGGGUUCAAUUCCCCUCUGCUCCACCA
rnacentral:tmRNA from 1 species